AUGGUGGGCACUCUAAGGAGACUGCCGGUGACAAACCGGAGGAAGGUGGGGAUGACGUCAAGUCAUCAUGGCCCUUACGGCCUGGGCUACACACGUGCUACAAUGGUCGGUACAGAGGGUUGCCAAGCCGCGAGGUGGAGCUAAUCCCAGAAAACCGAUCGUAGUCCGGAUCGCAGUCUGCAACUCGACUGCGUGAAGUCGGAAUCGCUAGUAAUCGCGAAUCAGAAUGUCGCGGUGAAUACGUUCCCGGGCCUUGUACACACCGCCCGUCACACCAUGGGAGUGGGUUGCACCAGAAGUAGCUAGUCUAACCUUCGGGAGGACGGUUACCACGGUGUGAUUCAUGACUGGGGUGAAGUCGUAACAAGGUAGCCGUAGGGGAACCUGCGGCUGGAUCACCUCCUUA
rnacentral:rRNA from 1 species